GAGAGACUCUUGAGAGAGAUGAGCCGAUCUUGAACUACCUCAGUGAGAGAACACCACAGCUAGACCCGAGAACACAGUUGCUAAAAAGGGAUGGGGAGUUCGCUACUUUUGUCGCACGCAGUUACCCAGAGAGCAUCUCAAGGAAUGACGUAAUUCCAGUCAAACCGAUUGAGCGUCCGUUGCGACCUUCCCUAUUCUGAGGACUCCAGGGCUCGUUCACUUUGUCCCCAGCUAUCAACGAGAGUGGAAGUGCGCUUUUUGUACCGCGAGUUUUUGGCUUUUUGUACAAAAAUUUCCCGUACAGUUAUUUUGUGUGUGCGCUAGCUAAAGUAAUUUUUCGUGUGCGAACAGGAGCUAGAAGGAGUGAAAGAGUUCGCCCGUUAGCAACAGCGCUAACCAUUCCCGCAGCAGCACCAGCCCAGCAGCAGCGCGAACACACGAGCAGCAGAAGCAGCAGAGGAAAACGGAGACGAAGUUCCCCGCGCACCGCACUUCUCGUUGUCGCCGUACGUCACCAGGCGAAGCACGAGGACGAAGAGCGUGAGCGCACGCUAGGAGGCGAUCCGUCACCACAUCGCCCCGGUGAAGAAGGGAGGGUCCCUGAACCACCACUGAAGGACAGCGGAGAUCGUUAGUCCCGGCCUGAGUCAACCAUAAGGCCGGAGCUUCCUGUCCGGUUGCCGAACGCUGACAGCCGCGGAACCGGGAAACGUCUGAACCGGCCCGAGCCACCCCGUAAGGCUGAGUCCCGCAUUCCGGUCAGCUGUUUAUCAGCUGACGGCCACGUGUCGUCCCUGAGCUGAGCAACCAGCCACCAGCAGCAGAGAACAACAGCAGCAACAAGAUCAUCAUUCGGUGAGUCCGUUCUAUUUGCACUUGUGGGAAGAAGCACGUCCCUAGCUGACGUAGCUCGAUUUUUGCCGGCCUAGUGCCGAGGCGGCAGACGCGAGUCCGCCCUUGACGGACGCGUCCAAAGUUUGAGGAGCGAACUUUAAUCCCACGGUUUCUACGCCACACGUGGAUGACCCCCAAAAUCUAAACGCGCGCGCGCGCAAUUUCGAAGCAGUAGCCGAUUUGAUCAGCUGAUUGCUGGAAGAUGGGAAGAGCACAUGAGCACGGU